UACGGAGGGUGCAAGCGUUAUCCGGAUUCACUGGGUUUAAAGGGUGCGUAGGCGGGCAGGUAAGUCCGUGGUGAAAUCUCUGAGCUUAACUCAGAAACUGCCAUGGAUACUAUUUGUCUUGAAUAUUGUGGAGGUAAGCGGAAUAUGUCAUGUAGCGGUGAAAUGCUUAGAUAUGACAUAGAACACCAAUUGCGAAGGCAGCUUACUACACAGUUAUUGACACUGAGGCACGAAAGCGUGGGGAUCAAACAGG
rnacentral:rRNA from 1 species